rnacentral:rRNA from 1 species
GAACGCUGGCGGCGUGCUUAACACAUGCAAGUCGAGGGUUAUCAGGAAGAAAGCUUGCUUUCUUUGCUGGCGACCGGCGCACGGGUGAGUAACACGUAUCCAACCUGCCCUUUACUCGGGGAUAGCCUUUCGAAAGAAAGAUUAAUACCCGAUGGCAUAAUGAUUCCGCAUGGUUUCAUUAUUAAAGGAUUCCGGUAAAGGAUGGGGAUGCGUUCCAUUAGGUUGUUGGUGAGGUAACGGCUCACCAAGCCUUCGAUGGAUAGGGGUUCUGAGAGGAAGGUCCCCCACAUUGGAACUGAGACACGGUCCAAACUCCUACGGGAGGCAGCAGUGAGGAAUAUUGGUCAAUGGGCGCUAGCCUGAACCAGCCAAGUAGCGUGAAGGAUGAAGGCUCUAUGGGUCGUAAACUUCUUUUAUAUAAGAAUAAAGUGCAGUAUGUAUACUGUUUUGUAUGUAUUAUAUGAAUAAGGAUCGGCUAACUCCGUGCCAGCAGCCGCGGUAAUACGGAGGAUCCGAGCGUUAUCCGGAUUUUAUUGGGUUUAAAGGGAGCGUACGCGGACUAUUAAGUCAGCUGUGAAAAGUUUUGCGGCUCAACCGAAAAAUUGCAAGUUGAUACUGGUCGUCUUGAAGUGCAGUAAGAGGUAGGCGGAAUUCGUGGUGUAGCGGUGAAAUGCUUUAGAUAUCACGAAGAACUCCGAUUGCGAAGGCAGCUUACUGGACUGUAACUGACGCUGAUGCUCGAAAGUGUGGGUAUCAAACAGGAUUAGAUACCCUGGUAGUCCACACAGUAAACGAUGAAUACUCGCUGUUUGCGAUAUACAGCAAGCGGCCAAGCGAAAGCAUUAAGUAUUCCACCUGGGGAGUACGCCGGCAACGGUGAAACUCAAAGGAAUUGACGGGGGCCCGCACAAGCGGAGGAACAUGUGGUUUAAUUCGAUGAUACGCGAGGAACCUUACCCGGGCUUAAAUUGCAGUGGAAUGAUGUGGAAACAUGUCAGUGAGCAAUCACCGCUGUGAAGGUGCUGCAUGGUUGUCGUCAGCUCGUGCCGUGAGGUGUCGGCUUAAGUGCCAUAACGAGCGCAACCCUUAUCUUUAGUUACUAACAGGUUAUGCUGAGGACUCUAGAGAGACUGCCGUCGUAAGAUGUGAGGAAGGUGGGGAUGACGUCAAAUCAGCACGGCCCUUACGUCCGGGGCUACACACGUGUUACAAUGGGGGGUACAGAAGGCAGCUAGCGGGUGACCGUAUGCUAAUCCCAAAAGCCUCUCUCAGUUCGGAUCGAAGUCUGCAACCCGACUUCGUGAAGCUGGAUUCGCUAGUAAUCGCGCAUCAGCCACGGCGCGGUGAAUACGUUCCCGGGCCUUGUACACACCGCCCGUCAAGCCAUGGGAGCCGGGGGUACCUGAAGUACGUAACCGCAAGGAUCGUCCUAGGGUAAAACUGGUGACUG